rnacentral:rRNA from 1 species
UGGGGAAUUUUGGACAAUGGGGGCAACCCUGAUCCAGCAAUGCCGCGUGAGUGAAGAAGGCCUUCGGGUUGUAAAGCUCUUUUGUCAGGGAAGAAACGGUAGUAGCGAAUAACUAUUACUAAUGACGGUACCUGAAGAAUAAGCACCGGCUAACUACGUGCCAGCAGCCGCGGUAAUACGUAGGGUGCAAGCGUUAAUCGGAAUUACUGGGCGUAAAGCGUGCGCAGGCGGUUGUGUAAGUCAGAUGUGAAAUCCCCGGGCUCAACCUGGGAAUUGCAUUUGAGACUGCACGGCUAGAGUGUGUCAGAGGGGGGUAGAAUUCCACGUGUAGCAGUGAAAUGCGUAGAUAUGUGGAGGAAUACCGAUGGCGAAGGCAGCCCCCUGGGAUAACACUGACGCUCAUGCACGAAAGCGUGGGGAGCAAACAGGAUUAGAUACCCGGGUAGGCCCUGAGCGGGCUGGCAAGGCGCAU